AACGAACGCUGGCGGCAUGCCUAACACAUGCCAGUCGAACGAGACCUUCGGGUCUAGUGGCGCACGGGUGCGUAACGCGUGGGAACCUGCCCUUAGGUUCGGAAUAACUCCCCGAAAGGGGUGCUAAUACCGGAUAAUGUCUUCGGACCAAAGAUUUAUCGCCUUUGGAUGGGCCCGCGUUGGAUUAGCUAGUUGGUAGGGUAAAAGCCUACCAAGGCGACGAUCCAUAGCUGGUCUGAGAGGAUGAUCAGCCACACUGGGACUGAGACACGGCCCAGACUCCUACGGGAGGCAGCAGUGGGGAAUAUUGGACAAAGGGCGAAAGCCUGAUCCAGCAAUGCCGCGUGAGUGAUGAAGGCCUUAGGGUUGUAAAGCUCUUUUACCCGGGAUGAUAAUGACAGUACCGGGAGAAUAAGCUCCGGCUAACUCCGUG
rnacentral:rRNA from 1 species